CAAUUAUUUAGUUAAAAAACGGAAGUUUGAUAUCAGCCUAUAGUUGUCAUUUGUGACGUGUCUAGAUUGUUCUUUUUUUUAGCAAUUUUAAG